GACAUUGCCUAGGCAAAAUUGGGUUUAAAAAAUGUAACUAAUGUCUGUGUCCCUCAUCAAGUGACCAUUGGAAAACCUGUCUCCUGGAUCUCUUGUGGAUAUUACCAUUCAGCUUUUUAACAACAGAUGGUGAGCUAUAUAUUUGGAGAACCUGAGAAUGGGAAGUUAGGUCUUCCUAAUCAGCUCCUGAGCAAUCACAGAACACCCCAGCUGGUGUCUGAAAUUCCUGAGAAGGUGAUCCAAGUAGCUUUGUGGCGGAGAGCACACUGUGGUUCUCACAGAGAAUGCUGUGUACUUCUUUGGCCUGGGACAGUUUGUCAGCUGGUCUUGGCACUUUCUUUUUUGAAACUUUCAGAACCCCAAAGUUCAUU